rnacentral:rRNA from 1 species
UACAGAGGUCUCAAGCGUUGUUCGGAUUCAUUGGGCGUAAAGGGUGUGUAGGUGGCGCGCUAAGUCGGGUGUGAAAUUUCGGAGCUUAACUCCGAAACUGCAUUCGAUACUGGCGUGCUUGAGGACUGGAGAGGAGACUGGAAUUCCUGGUGUAGCAGUGAAAUGCGUAGAUAUCAGGAGGAACACCGAUGGCGAAGGCAGGUCUCUGGGCUGAAACUGACGCUCAUGCACGAAAGCGUGGGGAGCAAACAGG